ensembl:lncRNA
CCUUUAGGAACUUAAUCCUACAGGGCCCUGAUAAAAACCGCAAACAUCUCCCAGCAGAAUGCUGGUUCCCAAGCAGAAUUCACUGUGAGCUGUGUUUGCUUUGGGCUUCUGUAAUGGCAUGUGACUCAACCAGAAAAGUUGCCAGGUGGAUAAUAUCAAGAGGAGAAGACUGCUCAUUUCCAUAAGUUCUGUAUCAGAUCUGCCAAAUCCAUGUGGAUGCCAAGUUUCUGCUAUAGCAUCUCCAGUGGGUUGACUGACAGACUGGAACCUUCCAGAUGAGAUUCUGCUCAAAGCAACAGGCCCUGUGCAAGACCAAGAUUAACAGCUUGAAACCUUGUCAGAAAGGAAGAACUUCAUUUGAACCAUAAGUGCAAAAGAACUGCAAAAGACCCUGAGGCCAGAAGAAAAAGUAGCAAUAGGAAGGGUAAUUCUGGAGCAUGGUGGUGACAGAAGGCAGCCAGAAGGUGGAGGAUGCAGGCACAGGAAGGAUGGCAUAACUGGAGGGUUAAGGAAAAAGAGAUGAUUAUCUUUGACAAUUUACAGCAGACAGUGGUGUUUCACUCUGGAGGGGAUAAGAAGAAUCCUAAC